AGGUAUGUUUCCUGUAGAUUUGUUUUCUCGGAAAGUUGGAUCAAACGAAGGGUGUUAUUCAUAACAACAGACUUCAUACAUGCAGCAGUAGAUGGCUUCACACCCACAGGAAUAUGGACAACCCUAAUUGGACUCGGUUAAACUUCAUACAUGCAGCAGUAGAUGGCUUCACACCCACAGGAAUAUGGACAACCCUAAUUGGACUCAGUUGGUUAA